rnacentral:tRNA from 1 species
GGGUUGUUAGCUCAGUUGGUAGAGCAGUGGACUCUUAAUCCAUUGGUCGAAGGUUCGAACCCUUCACGACCCACCA